rnacentral:rRNA from 1 species
AGUACUAUGAAUACUAUAAAUUUAAAACUCAAAGAACUUGGCGGUGUUUUAGACCACUCAGGGGAACCUGUCUCGUAAUCGACAAUCCACGUUGUACCUGACCUUUCUUUGUUCUCAGUUUGUAUACCGUUGUCGUCAGGUAACUUUUUAAAAUGUAAAAGUUGGCUGGAGAAACAAAUGAUUUANUACGUCAAAUCAAGGUGCAGCUAAUAGAAAGGGGAGGAUGGGUUACAAUUAUUUAUUUAUAAUUACGGAUUAUUAUGUUAAAGCGUAAGGAUAAAAAGGAGGACUUGAAAGUAAAUUAAAUUUAUAAAAAUAAAUUUGAAUAAGGCUCUGAAACGUGU